rnacentral:lncRNA from 1 species
ACCAGAAAAGGAGAAACAACUCACGCAAACAAAACAAAAGGGCGCCCGGAGAGAUCAGCUCAUCUCCUGCCUACGUACCUCAUCUGGUAUGAGGAUCAGGGCGACGUAGUUCCCCUACGAAGGGAAAAAAGACUAGCCUAACCAGAUAACAGAGGGAGACACAACUAGGGAGAAUACGACUCGAGCCUAGAUGUUAUCAUGCAAAUCAUCCCUAAGUUAAGGUUUCUAGCUAACUUGCACAGGAAGCAAG